GCCAGGUGUGAUGGCUCACACCUGUAAUCCCAGCACUUAGGGAGGCUGAGGCAGGUGGAUCACCUGAGGUCAGGAGUUCGAGACCAGCCUGGCCAACAUGGUGAAACCCUGUCUCUA
rnacentral:SRP_RNA from 1 species